rnacentral:tmRNA from 1 species
GGGGGUGACCAGGGUUCGACGGGGAUAGUUGAGACUAGAGCCGCAGGCCGAGCGACCCAGUGACUCGUAAAUCCAACGGGACUAAACACAAAAGCAGACUCUACUGAGUACGCUCUGGCUGCUUAGCCAGCGUCUUUGGGGAAACGCGGCCCACGGUUUCUCAAGGGCGUAGCCAAAUGGGCUGGUCAAUCCAGGAGGUAACUGGACUAGAUUGACGAGAAAAUUUCAGUUUCUCGCCCCGAAGUCACCUGUCCGCUGGCGGCUAAAGGGUUAAAACUAAAUAACGGAACAAGCCUGUAGACACUUUAGGGUAAGAUCUUCGGACGCGGGUUCAAUUCCCGCCACCUCCACCA